GGGGUUGUAGCUCAGAUGGUAGAGCAUCUGCUUUGCAAGCAGAGGGGCGUGAGUUCGAGUCUCACCUUCUCCA
rnacentral:tRNA from 1 species